UGGCAUAUCAAAAAGCGGAGGAAAAGAAACCAACUGGGAUUACCUUAGUAACGGCGAGUGAAGCGGUAAAAGCUCAAAUUUGAAAUCUGGUACUUUCAGUGCCCGAGUUGUAAUUUGUAGAAUUUGUCUUUGAUUAGGUCCUUGUCUAUGUUCCUUGGAACAGGACGUCAUAGAGGGUGAGAAUCCCGUUUGGCGAGGAUACCUUUUCUCUGUAAGACUUUUUCGAAGAGUCGAGUUGUUUGGGAAUGCAGCUCAAAGUGGGUGGUAAAUUCCAUCUAAAGCUAAAUAUUGGCGAGAGACCGAUAGCGAACAAGUACAGUGAUGGAAAGAUGAAAAGAACUUUGAAAAGAGAGUGAAAAAGUACGUGAAAUUGUUGAAAGGGAAGGGCAUUUGAUCAGACAUGGUGUUUUUUGCAUGCACUCGCCUCUCGUGGGCUUGGGCCUCUCAAAAAUUUCACUGGGCCAACAUCAAUUCUGGCAGCAGGAUAAAUCAUUAAGAAUGUAGCUACUUCGGUAGUGUUAUAGCUUUUUGGAAUACUGUUAGCCGGGAUUGAGGACUGCGCUUCGGCAAGGAUGUUGGCAUAAUGGUUAAAUGCCGCCCGUCUUGAAACACGGACAUCAAA
rnacentral:rRNA from 1 species